rnacentral:piRNA from 1 species
CAGUCUCACAGCUUCUACCCUCUGCCUGCCUC